CCUACGGGUGGCAGCAGUGAGGAAUAUUGGUCAAUGGACGAGAGUCUGAACCAGCCAAGUAGCGUGAAGGAUGACUGCCCUAUGGGUUGUAAACUUCUUUUAUAUGGGAAUAAAACGUCCCACGUGUGGGAUUUUGUAUGUACCUUACGAAUAAGGAUCGGCUAACUCCGUGCCAGCAGCCGCGGUAAUACGGAGGAUCCGAGCGUUAUCCGGAUUUAUUGGGUUUAAAGGGAGCGUAGGUGGGUUGUUAAGUCAGUUGGGAAAGUUUGCGGCUCAACCAUAAAAUUGCAGUUGAAACUGGCAGUCUUGAGUACAGUAGAGGUGGGCGGAAUUCGUGGUGUAGCGGUGAAAUGCUUAGAUAUCACGAAGAACUCCGAUUGCGAAGGCAGUUCACUGGACUGCAACUGACGCUGAGGCUCGAAAGUGUGGGUAUCAAACAGGAUUAGAUACCCCAGUAGUC
rnacentral:rRNA from 1 species